AUUGAACGCUGGCGGCAUGCCUUACACAUGCGAGUCGAACGGCAGCACGGGUGCUUGCACCUGGUGGCGAGUGGCGAACGGGUGAGUAAUACAUCGGAACAUGUCCUGUAGUGGGGGAUAGCCCGGCGAAAGCCGGAUUAAUACCGCAUACGAUCCACGGAUGAAAGCGGGGGACCUUCGGGCCUCGCGCUAUAGGGUUGGCCGAUGGCUGAUUAGCUAGUUGGUGGGGUAAAGGCCUACCAAGGCGACGAUCAGUAGCUGGUCUGAGAGGACGACCAGCCACCCUGGAACUGGGACACGGCCCAGACUCCUACGGUAGGCAGCAGUGGGGAAUCUUAGGCAAUGGACGAGAGCCUUAUCCAGCAAUGCCGCGUCUGGGAAGAAGGCCUUCGGAUUGUGAAGCACUGUUGUCCGGAAAGAACUCCUUGACUCUAAUACGGUCGGGGGAUGACGGUACCGGAAGAAUAAGCACCGGCUAACUACGUG
rnacentral:rRNA from 1 species